rnacentral:rRNA from 1 species
AGAGCGAACGCUGGCGGCAGGCCUAACACAUGCAAGUCGAACGGACUCUUCGGAGUUAGUGGCGGACGGGUGAGUAACACGUGGGAACGUGCCUUUAGGUUCGGAAUAGCUCCUGGAAACGGGUGGUAAUACCGAAUGUGCCCUUCGGGGGAAAGAUUUAUCGCCUUUAGAGCGGCCCGCGUCUGAUUAGCUUGUUGGUGAGGUAAUGGCUCACCAAGGCUACGAUCAGUAGCUGGUCUGAGAGGAUGACCAGCCACAUUGGGACUGAGACACGGCCCAAACUCCUACGGGAGGCAGCAGUGGGGAAUCUUGCGCAAUGGGCGAAAGCCUGACGCAGCCAUGCCGCGUGUAUGAUAGGAAGGUCUUAGGUAUUAGUAAAAUUACGUUUACACCGGU